UACGGAGGGUGCAAGUGUUAUUCGGAAUCACUGGGCGUAAAGAGCACGUAGGUGGAUAGGCAAGUCAGAUGUGAAAUCCCGGAGCUCAACUCCGGAACUGCAUUUGAUACUGCCUGUCUUGAGUGAGGUAGAGGGAGUGGAAUUCCCGGUGUAGAGGUGAAAUUCGUAGAUAUCGGGAGGAACACCAGAGGCGAAGGCGACUCCCUGGGCCUCUACUGACGCUGAGGUGCGAAAGCGUGGGGAGCAAACAGGAUUAGAUACCCCCGUA
rnacentral:rRNA from 1 species